UCCUGUAUCAGCCUCUUAACCAAGUAUUUGAAGAAUGUUUGGGUUUGAUUACACGCAAUUGCAGUCUGAUUAAUUCUAGUUAUACCUUGUCUGCUCACCGUGGGCCAGGCAGCUGCAGGGAAAUAGGUGGUGAAGUGGUGCUGAGCCCCCAGGCAAGGCUUUUACCCUCGCGCCUUGAGGCUGUUGGGGAUUUCUCUGGCCUGGCUAUUAGCAGGGAGCUUUCUUCAGCACACCGCCACAAAGCCCAGCAAAGCAAACUCUUAUCUGCCCACUUGCUGAGAAGGAGAAGUAAAACAUAGGGCGGCCUUUUGUACAGGGCUGCUCCCGCGAUGCUCGGCACGGUGCUGCUGGCUGCUGUGGGAGCAGCGUGUGCAGGAUGUGGCCCGCAGCCAGGAGCCUGUGUCGCUCGCAGCACACAGCUCACGCUGGGGAAAUGCCUGAACCAUCCCAUCCCGUAAAGGCAAGGUGCUGGGAAGAGCUGAGCUCCAUUUCCAGCCUGCCUGCCUCAUAGGGGGCUGUUUGGCAGCUCCAGCCCAGCAGGUGCUUGUGUGAUGUUCCUGCCCUGGAAUGGGAUGAGGGUGUCCAGCAACAUCCUAAUGCUUCGGAGACAGGAGGAUUCCUCUGAUUAGUGUGGGUACUGCAAAGGAAGCCAGAUGUAUGUGCUGGGAACCGUAGGCAUGGGAAGAGCAGAGCUUUGCCUAGUGCAUUGGGCAGGUGCUUAGCUCUGUACAGCAAGGCCGAGGAAAAACUGACCAUAAUUUUACGUCUAAAAACCCAGCAAUUGGGAAGGCAGCAGGCUGAGAGAACUUGGCACAGUGCAAGGCCAGGCUGAGCCGUGCCGUGCAACACCUUGGUGACAGUGCAACGCCUUGGUGACAGUGACGUUUUAUUCUUCGCAUCCCUCUCUCUUUUGGCUGCUGCUGCCAUAAGGAACCGGCUCUUUUUCUGCUUCAUUUCCGUUGGCCCAGCUUUUCUCCUGGUCAGCAAACUCACCGUGCACCGGCACGCUGAAGGACACCCAGGGACUUUGCACCUCUUAGGAAACCUUUCUGCUGGAGGAAACAUCGGGGUGUUGAUCUCCACCAGUGCAGCAGGAGCAAAAGAGAAAACAUCUCUUAUGACAGGGUUUGAUUGCCAGCUGAAAGUAAGCAAAGUGCCUGUCAGGGGCAUGUGAGCACUGAAAAGCUUUACAGAUGGAAAUAAAGGCAAUGAUUUUUCCUCUCUGCCUUCCCUGCAGCGCCUGCGAGGUACUGGCUCGGCGGCGGCAGCACUCAGCUGCUUGAGAGCCUGUCGGAGCUGGAUGCACAGUGCUCUUUGGAUUCUUAUGUGUUUUCUGAAAAUGGUGUCUAAAAGCGUAAUGGGCACUUUGCUGAUCUCUAAAUAGACUGGCCUUCUGUCCUGAGGAGCUGACAACGUAAAGAGACAAAUGCCAGCGAUGGGAGAAGGGCUGCAUCAUGCAAGCCAGCCGUGGAGGUGGCACGUGGCCCACCUGCUCAGUAUUUUUCCAUCACAUUCUCAUUCGGUUGCUCAUUGCCAACUUCCAGCUCUGUCGCCCUCCUCAAAAGCUUCUGCUCUGGGUUUAUUUAGCACGCUAUUUAUUUCCUAAUUAUAGAACUUGGUGACUAACCUCUGCCUUACCGGGCUCCUGCUGUCCACCCCUUCAUCCCCUGUAGAGCAGAGGUGCCUGGUCCCUUCCUGUGGCUGAAGGCGACUUUCCGACUCUUUUUUUUCUGGUUUUCUGCCAAACCAAGAGGGCUGUGCCUGCUAUCACAGGGACUGAGCAUUUCAGAGCAGAUAGGCUGCUGCAUUCCCAGAUUCUUUAGGCCAAGAGAAAUGCCACUGAGCUGAGUGUUUUACCAGGCUGUGCUCAGCCGGUUCUGUCCACAAAUUCCUGACAGCCAGCUCACUGCUUUUACCCCACAGCUGCUGGCUGGGGGAAGAGGCUUUGGGAAUCAAGUUCCUGGGUGUUGGGGGAGUACGGGGUCUGCCUCCUGCUUCUGGGUGCUCUGUGGCACUCAGACAUUGCCUGCUUCCCCAGGCAGCCCCAGCCCUGCAGGGGAAGGCUCCUUCAGUAUCUCCCUCAGCUGAAUCCGUGCCACAACACUCCCGAAUUGCCCAGGGAGCCUGGCGAGGUGAAAUCCCCAUCAAUGUGCCAAAGGCUGCCAGGCUGAGCAGAGCAGUUCCCAACAGGAGCCACCUGCGAUCCCGCUUUUUGUUUGCUGGGAGCCGUUUCUGCCCCUUUGCCACAAAUUUUGGCAAACUGAGGCACAGCUGCAGGCACGAAGAGGAGUGUCAGUGCGCAGGGGAGGCAGCGCCUGAGCAGCAGGUAGUGGGCAGGCAGAUCGAGCUGGGAAAGGAGCUGCUGGAGGAGAGCAGGAGGGAAGAAAUGAGCACAGCACAGCCAGGGAGACGCAUGAGCUGCUCCUGGAGCAUUCCCAAGAUGUCACAGCGAAGAAAGGAAGCUGUUUGUCUCCCACUGAACUCCGAGUGUGCCUGCUUGUGAAAUACUUUCCCUGCAGAAGCUGCGAUAGAAGUAGUGCUGAAUGAGUUUGCAGCCCUGCAAACUGCUCCGUGAACUGAGCGGUGGGACUGUCGGUACCCAACAAAAACCUGCACUUCUGUACUGCUUGAGGGGUGGGCGAGAGCCUCUUCCUAGCGAGCAGUAUUUAUGGAAAUAAAUAAAUAAAUACAUAAAUACAUAAAUAAAUAAAUAAAUAAA